AAUAAGAACAAAAAGACGCAUGAAACGUAUGAGACGAAGAUGUGACGAAAAAAUGAAUCAACAAAACAAUGGAUUACAAGUUACUUCUUCUGGAUGUACCGGAACUUCAGUAAAGCCAGGUGUUUUAGUGUUGACCCAUUUAAUUGCAGCUGCGAUUGGGACUUGAGUCUUUUAAUGUGCAUUGUUCAUGAAAAAAUUAAACGCACAAAGAAUGGUAAAAUUAGAGAGAAAAGAAACAAAGAAACUAAAAGUGUCUCUCAUAACCUACAAAAAGUUUCUACGGAAAACAUG